GACGAACCGUGCAAACGUUAUUCGGAAUUACUGGGCGUAAAGGGCUCGUAGGUGGCCAACUAAGUCAGACGUGAAAUCCCUCAGCUUAACUGGGGAACUGCGUCUGAUACUGGAUGGCUUGAGUUUGGGAGAGGGAUGCGGAAUUCCAGGUGUAGCGGUGAAAUGCGUAGAUAUCAGGAGGAACACCGGUGGCGAAGGCGGAUCUCUGGACCAGUUCUGACACUGAUGAGCGAAAGCCAGGGGAGCAAACAGG
rnacentral:rRNA from 1 species